ACCUGAGCUGAAGUCGGACACUCAACCAACGGAGCCACCCAGGCACCCCAAGGGACCUUAUUUUUAACUAACACUGAAUAGAUUGUGACACAAAGAAUAGGUCAAAAUGUGCAAAAUCACUUGUUUCUGCAUUUCCCCCCUUUUGGUUGCCUUUUGUGUAUGGGCAACUAAGUUGUGUAAGGUGAAUUAGACGCUUUGUUUUGUUUUAAGUAAAUACUUGGUUUGAUUUAUUCCUAUUCCUGGUGGUGUGUUUCUCUGGGAGCUCCCGGCUACUGAUCCUAAGUGUCAAGUAUCUAUUAUAACUGCUAACAGCACUGUCUUGCCACUGGAGGCAAAAUAAAGAAAAGGCACACUCCAGAGAGGGUCUCACAAAUCCCUGUGGUACUUUUCACCAAAGAAGGUGAACACGCUAUAGAAGAGAGCAAGAAUUUUUUUUUUUUUUUUUUUUGGCCAGAGUACAAAAGUGGAGGAAGGAAUCAAUGAAAAAGAAAGAAAAUAAAGAGAAGGAAGAAAAAAAGGAUCAAGAAAGAAAAACCUAUCAAUUAAAUCAGACACCUCAAGUAUGUUGGCUUACGUUCUUGAGGCCUGUCCCAGGUGCCCAUGAUUCUUUGAUUCCUGUCAGAGAAGCCACAAGUUUGAGGACCACCAAAGAGGGGAGCCGCCCCGCACGUGACUACCUGAAGGUGAACUUGGUGCACGUAGGAGCGUUGUCAUUAAUGUCUUCCACAAUGAAGGUUAUCUGCAUGCGAUUCUCUUGACCCCCCGAGGGUCUGUCCUUCACCAGAACUUCCAGAGAAAUGGUGGGAUUUUGUCUUAAUUGACCUGCAUCUCGGUCUAGCCUGUUGGCCACUUGGAUCGUACCGGUCACUAAGGAGGCAAAUGCAAGGACAUCACUCUUUGGAGACUUGAAGGCGAUUGGAAUGAUCAUUGUGAUAGGAGGACUGGCUUGCCUAGAGAAUACCCUUUGUACAAACAGGUGUUUACAAACUCAUAAGACUUCAAGGUACCCUCAGGAGAGUGCACUCAUCCAUUGUUGGAUACCCACCUGCUUCAACGGUGAAGUAGUGCUGUGAUAUAGCCGGCCACCCUGGGGCCCCCAUUCAGAGUCCCCGGCCCCUCUGCCAGCUGCUUUUAAUACACCUAUUACCCUGAGCUCCCGUCCCUGUGGAUGCGAAGAAAGUGCCACGCUGUUACUGCAACCAUUUACAGUGGCCUCGGCCUCUGACUCCGCGCACGCUUGAUGCCUUUUCAGAUCAGCCGGGGCAUUAACCUCUUUCGCAAUAAGGAUAGUUGGCCUAUCCAGCCAUCUUCUCUCCUUCUGCAAUUCUUGUGCAAAAGCUCCCUGAAUUAUUUUACGAAAUCCAUCUGGACACAAUGUCCACAGCUAACAGAUUCCUGACUCCCACCCUAUGGCUGGCACAGGAAGCUGUGAUAAUAAACUGCAAACGCUUUUUA